rfam:Metarhizium anisopliae BRIP 53293 unplaced genomic scaffold Scaffold_13, whole genome shotgun sequence.
UCCUCCGUGGCGCAAUUGGCUAGCGCGUCUGACUGUUAAUCAGGAGGUUGAAAGUUCAAGCCUUUCCGGGGGAG